GAUGAACGCUGGCGGCGUGCCUAAUACAUGCAAGUCGAGCGAACAGACGAGAAGCUUGCUUCUCUGAUGUUAGCGGCGGACGGGUGAGUAACACGUGGAUAACCUACCUAUAAGACUGGGAUAACUUCGGGAAACCGGAGCUAAUACCGGAUAAUAUUUUGAACCGCAUGGUUCAAAAGUGAAAGACGGUCUUGCUGUCACUUAUAGAUGGAUCCGCGCUGCAUUAGCUAGUUGGUAAGGUAACGGCUUACCAAGGCAACGAUGCAUAGCCGACCUGAGAGGGUGAUCGGCCACACUGGAACUGAGACACGGUCCAGACUCCUACGGGAGGCAGCAGUAGGGAAUCUUCCGCAAUGGGCGAAAGCCUGACGGAGCAACGCCGCGUGAGUGAUGAAGGUCUUCGGAUCGUAAAACUCUGUUAUGAGGGAAGAACAUAUGUGUAAGUAACUGUGCACAUCUGGACGGUACCUAAUCAGAAAGCCACGGCUAACUACGU
rnacentral:rRNA from 1 species